rnacentral:rRNA from 1 species
UGGGGAAUUUUGGACAAUGGGCGAAAGCCUGAUCCAGCAAUGCCGCGUGUGUGAAGAAGGCCUUCGGGUUGUAAAGCACUUUUGUCCGGAAAGAAAUCCUUGGCUCUAAUACAGUCGGGGGAUGACGGUACCGGAAGAAUAAGCACCGGCUAACUACGUGCCAGCAGCCGCGGUAAUACGUAGGGUGCAAGCGUUAAUCGGAAUUACUGGGCGUAAAGCGUGCGCAGGCGGUUUGCUAAGACCGAUGUGAAAUCCCCGGGCUCAACCUGGGAACUGCAUUGGUGACUGGCAGGCUAGAGUAUGGCAGAGGGGGGUAGAAUUCCACGUGUAGCAGUGAAAUGCGUAGAGAUGUGGAGGAAUACCGAUGGCGAAGGCAGCCCCCUGGGCCAAUACUGACGCUCAUGCACGAAAGCGUGGGGGAGCAAAACAGGAUUAGAUACCCUGGUAGUCCACGCCCUAAAACGAUGUAAACUAGUUGUUGGGGAUUCAUUUUCCUUAGUAACGUAGCUAACGCGUGAAGUUGACCGCCUGGGGAGUACGGUCGCAAGAUUAAAACUUAAAGGAAUUGACGGGGUCAUAGCUGUUUCCU